rnacentral:tRNA from 1 species
GGGGCUGGGGCUCAGUGGUAGAGCGCUCGUCUAGCAUGAACGAGGCACCAGGUUCAAUCCUCAGCACCA